AAGGUCACGGCGAGACGAGCCGUUGUAUCAUUACGAUAGGUGUCAAGUGGAAGUGCAGUGAUGUAUGUAGCUGAGGCAUCCUAACAGACCAGUAGACUUGAAC
rnacentral:rRNA from 2 species